UCGCAUCAUUACCAAUCAGAACUCCCCAAAAAAAUAGCAAAUUUAUGUGUCAAAUAGAAAGUCAUUCAUCUAUAGUACACCGAUAAAAAAUAAGGAGACAACAACAAUUAAUUAACAAAAAAAUGAAAAUGAAAAUCGAUUAUUUAAAAUGCAUAGAGAAACAAUGGAUCCAUAUUAUAAUCCGGUACGUUUGCACAUAUUUCUCUACUAUUUAAUUUUCAAGGUUGUUGCCCUUUUCUUAAAACUCAACUUCUAUUUUGUGCUUGGUCAUGGCACACCAUUUGUGAGAGGAUAGUUCGAAGAGUGAGACAUUGGUUGGAGAAAAAGAGAUAAGGCUGUGCGAAAAAAAAAACGGAUAAACUACAAAAUAUGCUAGAACUACAAAUAGUACCAAUGUCUCUUGGAAAUAUGCUAGAACUACAGUAAAAACGACAGCCAGAAUUGGAAUAUAGUCAAUGAUAACAAAAAUCGUAAAAAAAUUGAGCAGCAUCUUUGGCUUUUGAAGUAGAUCGAAGCAAAUGAAGAGUAACCCAACAAAAUUUUCACAUCUCAGAUAGGGAAAAAGAAAAAAAAAUCUUAAAUUAAAGUACCAAAAGUAACAAACAAAUCCAUAAAGAAGCAAGAAUCUAGCAGGAAAUGAAGUUUCUCGAUUAGUAGAGCUACAGGAAGAACAAAUCAGCGAAAAAUAGGCUGAGAACUUACUGUGAAACAAGAGAAAGAGAGGGCCGAAGUUCUAGUCAAACAAAGAAGCAAAUGAGAGUGGAAGAGGCUGGAUGGUUUCUAGAAGCAGAUAUUCUACUUGGCGUCGUUUCCUUUGCGCUGCGGAGGAAGCAAAUGGCGGUGUCGUCGUCUCAAUUUUUUUUGUGAUAGCUUGAGAGUAGAUGGAGGAAUGGGAAAGACGAAAGGAUAUGAUGUCUGACAUAAAUAUGGCAUGUUAGAGAAGACAAGGGAUGUGAGUGGCAGAGCAUAAAACGGUGCCGUUUUUGAAUCAAUUGCGAGGAUGAAAUAAAAAAAAAUGAAAGGAAA
rnacentral:lncRNA from 1 species